rnacentral:rRNA from 1 species
AUUGAACGCUGGCGGCAUGCCUUACACAUGCAAGUCGAACGGUAGAGUAGCAAUACUUGAGAGUGGCGAACGGGUGAGUAAUAUAUCGGAACGUGCCCAGUCGUGGGGGAUAACGUAGAGAAAUUUACGCUAAUACCGCAUACGAUCUAAGGAUGAAAGCGGGGGGAUUCGCAAGAACCUCGCGCGAUUGGAGCGGCUGAUAUCAGAUUAGGUUGUUGGUGAGGUAAAAGCUCACCAAGCCGACGAUCUGUAGCUGGUUUGAGAGAACGACCAGCCACACUGGGACUGAGACACGGCCCAGACUCCUACGGGAGGCAGCAGUGGGGGAAUUUUUGGACAAUGGGCGAAAGCCUGAUCCAGCAAUGCCGCGUGCAGGAAGAAGGCCUUCGGUGUAACUAGCUUUGUACGGUAACGGAAAAAC